AUUUACAUAUUCAUUUACAUUUUUCCUUACAUCAAAUAUGUACAACACAACUCAAAAUGGUAUACCACUAAACUUGGGUGUCCGCUAGCUAAGCUGCUGGGCUCUUGCCGCGAUCCUCGGCCACACCGCUCGCGCUGGAACCUGUACGGUUAGUGGUAUGAGAACUACUGAAAGUUCCCAGUGGGUUCGGCCGCCGACCUCGCCGACUCACCCACUAGGUCUAUUCAGGCAUAUGUAGGCAAGAAAAGUAAACAGAUAGUAACCAACUAUAACAUGUAAGUACUACAAUACCUGUACAAAGCUGAAAGAAGCAAUAUAUGAUAACUGAUAAAUAUGCAUGCAUGCUUUUAACAAUUUUACCCAAUCAACUGGUUAACCCUUUGGUUAACAGUAACUCACCGACGAUAUCCCAAAUAUCGGGGAGACGCAAGCUACAUCCCGACGGGACUGUCAACUAGGGGAGACGCUAGCUCCUGAUCCAGUUAAGAUGACUACUCCGGAGCUCAUCGUUCAAGGAGGAGCGACCUUCCUUGAAUAUAAAACUGAUGUGAGUAUGAUCUAAUCCUCCUUUAGAGGAUCCAAUGAAAGACAAU
rnacentral:lncRNA from 1 species